rnacentral:rRNA from 1 species
UACGAACCGUGCGAACGUUGUUCGGAAUCACUGGGCUUAAAGGGCGCGUAGGCGGGCGGCCAAGUCAGGGGUGAAAUCCUGGAGCUCAACUCCAGAACUGCCUUUGAUACUGGCGGACUCGAGUCCGGGAGAGGUGAGUGGAACUGCGAGUGUAGAGGUGAAAUUCGUAGAUAUUCGCAAGAACACCAGUGGCGAAGGCGGCUCACUGGCCCGGUACUGACGCUGAGGUGCGAAAGCGUGGGGAGCAAACAGG